GUGCGCCUCUACGGCGGCGUUCUGCCGCCGCUGCCCGGCACGCAGCGCGAAGCGAAGUCGAUCGCCGCGCUCGUCGGUGCCGAUGGCGGCAAGUCCACAC
rnacentral:tRNA from 1 species